AUCAGAGAACACCACAAAAAGAGGAUUAGGGUUCUCCAUUGCACGGAAAAAAGAGAAGACAGAAGAAAAAAAAUGCACGGUGAGGAGAAAUUAACAGAGAGUGAUGAAGAGAAGAAAAGAAAGGAAGAACUGCCAUCAAAGGAGGAAGAAGAGAAAGAAGGAGAAGAAGACGACGGAGAGAGAAGUUGCCACCGCCACUUUCUUCACCUCCAGCACCGUCUCUGCCUUGCGCUGUUGUUGUUGUUUCUACCUUGCGCUGCCAGAUCUACCACUACUGUAAUCCCUCUUCUCUACUCCCUGUCGUCGUGUUUCUCAUUGCUCGAGCUCACGCCUUGUUCUGCUAUGCUCUGUCGUGUUUUUCUGCUCACGCCGUUCUGAAACCUGUGCUCUGCUCCGCGUUCUGAAACCUUUGCUCUGCUCCGCCGUGGUGCCGUGCUCUAUCCUCUCGGGCAAAUCGACAACUCUCCGCCGUUCACCUCUUUCACUCAAGCCUCUCGCCUCAGCCUCGGUCCUCAGCAUCUCUUCCUCCAUCGUCGUUGUUGAAGGCUUGUAGAUUGAUUUUACAUACUACUUGAUUAAUUUAGUUGAAUUGUUGAAUUAAUAACAAUAGUUCCAUUUCGAGUUCGAUCAUGUCGAAGGACAAAGACUUUACCAAUUUGUCGCUCACCUUCAAAUACCUCUUAGGCAUCUUAUGGCUCUGUGUUUUCCUCUGAAGAUUAUCAAAGAACUGUUACUAAUGGUGAGCUUCAAAAAAAGAUGAAUGAUGAAAAAAAAGAUUACAAGAUUGCGCACGUUGUUAUGGUUAUUGAAAUUUUGUGUUGGACCAUAGCAGCAAUCCAACUCUGAAGCCCGAGACCGACUCUGUCCAUCUCCUCCGCAAACAAAAGCACUUACUUGUCUGGUCUGAUUUUCAUGUAAGAGAUGGCAUUGCCAUAUACAUUUACAAACCUUAUAAAAGAAUGAAAAUUGAUGCUAGAAGAAAGGCAGAGGCAUCAAGCAAUAGCCAAUUUCUUGCAAACAUGAGCCAUGAAUUGAGGACACCUAUGGCUGCAAUAAUUGGGCUACUUGACAUUCUUAUGUCCAACGACUGUCUAACCAACGAACAGUGUGCAACGGUUACUCAGAUAAGAAAAUGCUCGAUGGCACUACUCCGGCUUCUUAAUAACAUCCUGGAUCUCAGCAAGGUGACAUAUUUAAUUAUUUUGCUCAAGAACAUUCAAUUAUAAGUUCCUUGAAAAAAAUAUGCACUUACUUGUUUGGAAAAACUUUCUAAAGAUUCAUAGAAUAUAGGUGGAAUCAGGAAAGCUAGUUCUAGAAGAUGCUGAAUUCAACUUGGGAAGGGAACUUGAAGGACUAGUGGAUAUGUAUUCGUUACUUUACGGGAAGCAUAUUAAUAUUUGCCAUCAUGUUAUCUUAUAUUGUAUUACAUAGUGUUAAACACCAUCUUAAAUUAGUGAAAAGCACCGUUAAAAAUGUGAUUUUAACAACCUUUUAUAUAUUUAUUUUAUUUUUUUAAGUAUGUUAUACAAAGUGUUUUCUAUAAAUAUACGUAGGCUUUAAUAAUACACAUUAUAGUUCCUGUGUGUGGUCUUUAGACAUGUUUUGUCAUUUCAUCUUAUCUUUGAUUUGAUCUCCUUAAUGCAUCUAGAUGUUAGUACCUGUCAUACUGAGACAAUUUUCAUUAAGUGUUGCAGAUUGGGCAGUAGUUUUGCUUUAGAUCAAAUGUUGAUUUUGCUUAUAUCAUUAAACGGGAGGGUGAUAAAUUAAAUCUCUAAUUAACUUGACUGUUGACAGAGUUGAUGUUAGUCUAUGUUGAGAAGGUAUUUUGGCACUCAUAAAUAGAUUAUUAGCAAUUGUAGUUUGUAUUUAUAUAAAAUAUACAAAUUCAUAUAUAUUACUCAAAUAUACUAAUUUGUGAAAGAUGAAAGAAGCAGCAGCAUGUUGAUAGCUUGAGUAAUUAGUAUAAAGGAAACCUUAUCUGAUAUGAAGUGAGGCACAACCAUGCAUUGUGUAGACAAAUAUUGUUAAGUAUCAAGUUUGACCAGUCAAACUUGGCACAUGACGUCAAUUUGUAGGUUAAUUAAUGGUCCAAAAUCCUUGUGGAGAAUAUCAUCUCAUAGAAGAAGAGAAUCAAAUCCGUUAAAGUAGUUAGAGGCUCCUAUUAACUCACUUAUCCACCCUUGGUUUCAGUUUCAGUUUGAAGAUUCUCUGAACCCUUGUGCACUACUGUGGUAGGUGAUGGCCUUAUCAAGCUCACAUAUACAAAGGUUCCUCUUGGGCAAGCUCCAUAGUUUCAGUUCCAACUUGAUAAUUCACUAUGUGGUCUGCAGAUACUUAAUAAGAAGUGGAUCUGUUCUUUUUUAAAUUUUCUAAAUGGAAUCCUAUGUGAAUGAAAACACCUCAUUUAUGCUGAUCUUGUUUUGAAUGUUGGAAAACAUAAAGUUUUUAGUCUUGUUCUAUUUUAGGUUCUUUUGUCAAUUUGCUCAUUGUUGACGGAUCCCAACCCUGAUGAUCCUCUUGUCCCUGAAAUUGCGGACAUGUACAAGACUGACAGGGCUAAGUAUGAAGCUACUGCACGCAGCUGAACACUAAGUGCAAAUGGUGCAUAUAGAAAAAUUGUUGCGGCAUGACCUCGUUAAGAAUUAUUGAUUUAAUAGGGAAGUUUGAUGUUACUCGCACAUAGUUAUUAGGGGAGUAUAACAAUGGCUACUGCAGCAGUUAUUGGACUCGGUGGAGGCAAGAGGAUUUUGAGUUCAUCAUACCAUUACUCUGAUGUUACCGAAAAGCUUUCAUUUGGCACUGAUUUUGGAUCCACACACUAUCAGAUUGUUCCAACAAAGCCAAGCAUGGAUAUAAAAUAUGCAAGUAGAUUGACAUCUUUUUGAUAAAUAUUAAUUACUAUUUUGUUGCGAUAAUUAUUAUUAGACAAUAAUUUUAUUUUGUUGAGAAUUAUUGAUGAACAUGAAUUUGAAAUACUAAUUGAAC